rnacentral:rRNA from 1 species
GAUGAACGCUAGCGGGAGGCCUAACACAUGCAAGCCGAGCGGUAGAGUUUCUUCGGAAACUUGAGAGCGGCGCACGGGUGAGUAACACGUGUGCAACCUACCUUUAUCUGGGGGAUAGCCUUUCGAAAGGAAGAUUAAUACCCCAUAAUAUAAUGAUUGGCAUCAAUUAUUAUUGAAAACUCCGGUGGAUAGAGAUGGGCACGCGCAAGAUUAGAUAGUUGGUGAGGUAACGGCUCACCAAGUCAAUGAUCUUUAGGGGUCCUGAGAGGGAGAUCCCCCACACUGGUACUGAGACACGGACCAGACUCCUACGGGAGGCAGCAGUGAGGAAUAUUGGACAAUGGGUGAGAGCCUGAUCCAGCCAUCCCGCGUGAAGGAUGACGGUCCUAUGGAUUGUAAACUUCUUUUGUACAGGGAUAAACCUACCCUCGUGAGGGUAGCUGAAGGUACUGUACGAAUAAGCACCGGCUAACUCCGUG